AUGCUGUUUCUCUAACAACUAGCAUUUACGUAUCUAGGAACCAAGGGGUAGAAAUAAGAAUGCCUCCUCUCAACAUUAUCCCUAGCAAUCCAAUAACUGGAUUUUUGUCUUCUAUCCUUACCACUUCAGUUUCUGCCGGUCUAGACAUCUGGGUUCCGAAAGAAGAAUGCUUCUCCCAGGAGACAUGGCAAUGAUUCCAUUGACCAGGAAGUUGAGAUGCCACCUGGCCACUUUGGGCUCCUCAUGCCUCUGAAUCAACAGGCAAAGAAGAGAGUUAUAGAUCCUAACCACCCAGGAGAAAUUCGGUGGCCACUACACAUACAGAGUAAGAAGAGCAUUUGUGUGAUGCAGGAGAACCUCUAGAAUGUUUGUUAAUAUUCCCAGGUCCUGUGAUUAAAGUAGGUGGAAAACUAUAGUAGUCCAAUUCAGGAUGUUUCCAGAAACUUCAGUAAGCGAGAACUGUGUCAGUACACCACAUUGACCACUUGAGAGCCUAGCUCAGUGCAAAGAAAAUAUGAGAUGAGUAGGGGAAGAAGGUAGCUAUAAACAUCAGUUAUGGCCACAUGACCAAUUAUAGAAACAAGAUUCAAAUAGUUCUGGUUAAAUUAUUGGUGUGAGGCACGAGGUGGACCUACAACUAGUGCACCUUCCCUUGGAUAUUUCUUCAGCUUUUCUGACUCUGGGGCCAGGUGUUUGUGUUUAACUCCACGGUGAGGAGACUUAUCUUCUGAUGGACCUCUAAACCAUCAAGGUCAGAGGCAACAAGAAAUGGCAUGCAUUUCAGUUUAUCAUUCUGUGGCUCCAGCUUGUAAAUGUGAAUUCUAGAUUGUUUUUUAUUUUCCCCACUUUACAAUCAUCUUCCCUUUCCAACUACCUUCCUUGUGGACUUCAAGCUCCAGCAUCACAAGCAAAGACAAAAACCUUGCAGAAACUACUUAACUAACUCCCACAACUGCAUAAAGAUCUAAAUGAAAAUAUUUCUGCAGUGAACCAGUUCUAUUGUUUUAAAUAUCACCCUUAUUAAAGAGCGCUUUGACACUU